AGGAACUGUGCCCUCCGAGAAUCCGGACGGGGAAUUACCCUCCCUCCAAAGGUGCACCUGCGCACCUGCACGCGCCCUGCGUCCGUGUCCCAGGAAGGCCGGUGAGGAAGCCCUGCUGCACAGAGCAGCGUGUCGGAGUCAGGACCUGCAGGGCCCUCCCUCGCCCACCCCGGCCUUCCCAAGCCCCUCCCGGCUCCCUCCACCCCGUUUCCCUCUAUCUGGGUCAGCAGCUCGGCAGGUGCUUCCCCGAGCAGCGCGCAGUCCGCAGCCGGGAAAAGUGGCCCAAGUUCCGCUCUCCUCCAUCUCAAGGAUGGGCACAGAGGGGGAAGCCUAACUAAAAACAGGAAACUAAAAAAUAUUUUAAAGCCUCAUUCAGGCUGAAUUACGGAGCGAGCGAGCGAGCGAGCGAGCGAAUAAAGUCCUGAGCCCACAGAGCGCCACAUUCACCCGGCACAGCACUGCACCCGGGAGGACGCUAGAGGGGUGACCGCGGGCCAGUUUCUUGUGCUGCAGUUCGAUGAGGAAUGCUUUGCAACUUCCAAGAGGCAAUGAUUCAGAUCCUGCUUCUCACUGCAGAAGAUGCUGCCUGGGGAGAAAGGAGUGCUGAGCGCCCAGCCGCCCUUCACGCAUGUCCUCCUGGCCCCACCGCAGCCCAGCAGUGACUGUCAUUCAGCACCUGCAUCCCAAUUUCUGGGUGCGAAAGCCCAGGUUUGGGAAGGUGGAAGCAUUUUGGGGAGGACAUAGAUUCAGUAAGUGUCCAACUUCUGGAUCCUCCCCUCUCACCCCCACACCGUGUCUCCUAAAAAGUUUACAUCCUGAACACCUGGGACGUUUGCUUUCUGAGCCCCUAAUGAAGGACUUAUCAUGCCCCCCUUUUUGUUUGGGGUGCCAGGAAGCUCAAAGUAAACUUACCCAGGAUCUGUCUUCAUCCCUCAAGUUCCUGACAGGAUUGCCUCUGCCUACCCCCCUCUGGUUUCUGAUCUCAUGCUCUAUUUUUAGCUGUUGUUGAGUGUGUUGUGGAGGAAGCUGCCUCAAGUUCCCUUUGAACUGUAAAUAAACCGAAGCCGUUCUGGUGGUGGAUUCACAGCAGUCCUCCGAGGGAAGGCUCCCCGUGCUGGACCAAGGCCACACGAGCUGCCCUGCUCUCUGACACGAGCCCUGGGGGGGGUGAUGCCAGGGUCAGAAAGGGGGCUGGGCCCUGCGGGUGUGGCUGGUCCAGGCUGGUCCAUGUGGGGCCUCGGGCUCUGUUCCGGAACGGUCCCCUGCAGAACUUCCCCCCUCCGGGCCACCCGACUUCCGCUCAGGCAGCAGCUCAAAUCUUGGGUGCCUUCAAACCUGAGUGACUUUGCCCGAUACCCAGGCACCCACAGGAAGGGUUAUCUCGGGACAGCAGGGAGAGGAGAGCACCAGUGCCAGCGGCAGCCCCGGCCCUGAGCAGCUCUGGACACCUGGAGGAGGCCGCCUGGCCCCAGGUCUCCUACUAGGAAGUCCUUACCCUUUGGUGCUGGCCAAGGAAAGUGUGGCAAACAGCCUGGCACUGCCAGUGUGGAGCUGUGUGACCUCACGCUUUGACUUUCCUCUCUUCAUGCCUCCAUUUCCCCAUCUGCAGUAGGAAGAUGCUAACAAUAGUACCCAGCCAUUAGAACUCUGGUUAGGAUCAAACGACUCCAUUCGUGUAAAAUGCUUAUACCAUAAACCAUCAUGGUGGCACAUACCUGUGAUCUCAGCACUCAGAAGGCUGAGACAGGAGGAUUUUGGUGAGUUCGAGGGCAGCCUGGGCUACAUAGAAAGACAGUCUCAAUCAAUCACCAGUCAAUGUAUGGUUAUAGCAAUGCCU
rnacentral:lncRNA from 1 species